rnacentral:rRNA from 1 species
UACGUAGGGUGCAAGCGUUAAUCGGAAUUACUGGGCGUAAAGCGUGCGCAGGCGGUUAUGUAAGACAGAUGUGAAAUGCCCGGGCUUAACCUGGGAACUGCAUUUGUGACUGCAUGGCUAGAGUUUGGCAGAGGGGGGUAGAAUUCCACGUGUAGCAGUGAAAUGCGUAGAGAUGCGGAGGAACACCGAUGGCGAAGGCAGCCCCCUGGGUCGACACCUGACGCUCAGGCACGAAAGCGUGGGGAGCAAACGAGG